UACGGUGGAUGAGUGGUUAGCACUGUUGCCCUCACAGCAAGUAGGUCAUGGGAUCUAUACCCACCUGUGGCCUUUCUGCAUGGAGUUUGCAUGUUCUCCCCAUGUUUGCGUAGGUUUUCUCCUGGUGC